CCCAGCCCCGCGGCGUCCUCACGCGAUGCCCGACCUGUUGCCCUAGCUCCGGUGGCCACACUGCCGCCGCCGCCGCCGAUUUAUGCUGGUAGGUCGCGGACGACCGAGGCGCCGAGGCAGAGUUCCAGGCCUGCAAUCCUCCUACCCACGACGCCUGCGUCGGCGACGCCCAACACCGCCAACCUGUUCGUCCUCGAGAGAAUAUGGUCCGCGCAGCCGGCAGCGUCGCCUCUAAGUAGUGGAUCCUCUCACCUCCAAACGUCCAAGGAGAUGAUGUGGGGCCAUGUGUCUUGGUAUUUUUUUUCCUUCAAUAAUUGCAUCGGUGCAUGUGAUUCCUCCAUGGAGUCUUAACCUGUUCUUGUGAUGAAGGAUUGGGAUGACUGAGCUGUCAUCGUGAUGCAACGGAGGGUUAAGACAAGUGACGACGAGGGAAGGCGGAGGCUUGAUAUAGAUGCUACAGCUGUUGUGGCGGUGGUAGAAGCUUGCAAUUUGGAUGGUAGAAUUAUGUUAUGUUUACAAGGCCAGGUUAAUAAAAUAGAGAAUGCACUUGGAGAGAUGGCUUGUGUUGAUUCUCACCAAAUUACUUACUAUUUCGUUCAGCAGUAUAGACUGAACUGGGAGAAAGAAGCAACUAAUAAUUUCAUUGAGAAGGCAUAUGUGAAGCUGUAGUAUAUGAGCUAAUGUUUAGGUACAUUAUUUCUCCAACCAUUCAAACUUCGAACUGUAUAUCAUUGUUGUAAAUCAAGUGGAAUAUAUGUGUUGCCAUAGCUAUUCUAUUCUGAGUUCAAGCUUUGAAUAUACAAUUUUCGCUCGGUA